UUGAAAAGAGAGUUAAAAAGCACGUGAAAUUGUUGAAAGCGGAAGCGCUUGCGACCAGACUCGCCUCCAGGGUUCAGCCGGCAUUCGUGCCGGUGUACUUCCCUGGGGGCGGGCCAGCGUCGGUUUGGGCGGCCGGUCAAAGGCUCCCGGAAUGUAGUGCCCUCCGGGGCACCUUAUAGCCGGGAGUGCAAUGCGGCCAGCCUGGACCGAGGAACGCGCUUCGGCACGGACGCUGGCAUAAUGGUCGUAAACGACCCGUCUUGAAACACGGAACCAAGA
rnacentral:rRNA from 1 species